AACGAACGCUGGCGGCAGGCUUAACACAUGCAAGUCGAACGGACGUAGCAAUACGUUAGUGGCAGACGGGUGAGUAACGCGUGGGAAUGUGCCCUUUAGUUCGGAAUAACGCAGAGAAGUUUGUGCUAAUACCGGAUAAUCCCGAGAGGGGAAAGAUUUAUCGCUGAAGGAGCAGCCCGCGUCUGAUUAGCUAGUUGGUGAGGUAAUGGCUCACCAAGGCGACGAUCAGUAGCUGGUCUGAGAGGAUGAUCAGCCAUACUGGGACUGAGACACGGCCCAGACUCCUACGGGAGGCAGCAGUGGGGAAUAUUGGACAAUGGGGGCAACCCUGAUCCAGCCAUGCCGCGUGAGUGAUGAAGGCCUUAGGGUUGUAAAGCUCUUUUGUCCGGGAAGAUAAUGACUGUACCGGAAGAAUAAGCCCCGGCUAACUUCGUGCCAGCAGCCGCCGUAAUAC
rnacentral:rRNA from 1 species